CAGAAGACUUACAAUACUUCUUGGAGUUUCAAAUUCCUCGAGAAUGGGCACCCAUGUUUUCUGAUCUGCCUUUGAGGCAUCAAAGGAAAAAGACUUAUUCUCCUCCACUGCAAUUUAGUUUCAUGUCUCCAAAGCUUCAUAUCAACUCUACACAGGUAAUUUUAACCAAACACGUCUUAAGCAUUGAGACUUAAUUAAGUAAACAUGUGUUGGUGUAUUACAUGUGUUAGCCUUUACUUUUAUAUAUUUGAGUUUAAUAUUAGCUUUACAUAAUGAUUUGUGAUUCAUGAUCUCAUAUCAAUAACACUCUUUUACACUUACAUUGCAUAUUUAAAUCAUAUCAGUAUUAUAGAUGACAUUAUGCGAUUAUUGCUAAUUAUAUCAGGUAGUAAGUGAACAAAAACCUGUGGUUGGUCUCCGAUUAUACUUGGAGGGAAGGAAAUGUGAUAAACUUGCAAUACAUAUACAUCAUCUUUCAAGCCUCCCAAAUACAAUGAUCCUUUCUUCAACCGCUACAACAAUGUC
rnacentral:lncRNA from 1 species